rnacentral:tRNA from 1 species
GCCUGGGUGGCUCAGUCGGUUAAGCGUCUGACUUUGGCUCAGGUCAUGAUCUCACGGUUCGUGAGUUCGAGCCCCAUGUCAGGCU